GGGGCUGGUGGUGCUUCCAACUGCGGGACAGGGAGUGGCCGUAGCGGCUUGUUGGAUAAGUGGAAGAUAGAUGAUAAGCCUGUAAAAAUUGACAAGUGGGAUGGAUCAGCUGUGAAAAACUCUUUGGAUGAUUCUGCCAAAAAGGAGAAGAGCAUCUUUCUCGUGGCCCACAGGAAAGAUCCUACAGGAAUGGAUCCUGAUGAUAUUUGGCAGCUGUCCUCCAGUCUUAAAGGGUUUGAUGACAAAUACACCUUGAAGCUGACCUUCAUCAGUGGGAGAACAAAGCAGCAGCGGGAAGCCGAGUUCACAAAGUCCAUUGCUAAGUUUUUUGACCACAGUGGGACACUGGUCAUGGAUGCAUAUGAGCCUGAAAUAUCCAGGCUCCAUGACAGUCUUGCCAUAGAAAGAAAAAUAAAGUAGCCAAUUCUAAAAGUAGCCCUCUUUCUCCUGGAUCUUGCUGAAUUAGUGGCUUGGGGGGUGGGGGAGAUAAAAAGAACUUAAAAUGGGUAAAGUAAGAAAUGUUAAAAAGUCCCUGUUUUGUCCUGAAAUUUUAGUCUAUUCUGGAUAAAUAGGAUUUUCUGACACAGAUAUGAGAAGUUGUAGCUCUGAUGUCUAGCUGUAGUCUCCUUGAUCUGCUGAUUGCAUUAUUUUAAUUUGCUUUUCUGGGAAAGCAGUUUUGCUAAAAGCUGUACAGACUUUUUCUUUUGUACCUAGCAGUACUUUAUAUAGUAUAGCUUUGGGCCAUGUAGCAUUUUAAGACUCAAUUUUAAAAAAUUAUUAAUCUGUUGCUGACUCUUAAUUCCUAUUUCAAUAUGUGUUUCCUUGAAGAAUUCAGGAUACAACUUCUUGUGUAUGACAGCUUUCCUUCACACACUAUUUUUGUGGGUGUGUAUAUAUCUGAUUUGGGAAGAAUUUAAAAAACACAUAGCUUUUUAAUUUGUUUGAAACAGACUUUCUGCCUGUUACAUUUUGUGCUUUUAACCAAUUAAAGAAGCCAAUGGCAUUUUAGUUUUAUAUUGUGUUUCCCACUAGUAUAUCCCUGUUGAUUUGUUUGUGCCUUUUAUUAACUGCCAUUUUCUAAAAUUUUUUUCAAUAAAAG
rnacentral:lncRNA from 1 species